GGCGAUGUAGCUCAGUUGGCUAGAGCAUACGGCUCAUAACCGUAGAGUCGGGAGUUCAAAUCUCCCCAUCGCCACCA
rnacentral:tRNA from 2 species